CUAGCGUACUUCGAGUAGUUUGACUCCGUGCUCGAGGACGACGCUGGCGGCGUGCCUAACACAUGCAAGUCGAACGGGGUUAGACCUUCGGGUUUAACUUAGUGGCGAACGGGUGAGUAACGCGUGAGAAACCUGCCUUUCAGUGGGGGACAACAGUUGGAAACGACUGCUAAUACCGCAUAAUGUAUCGGGAUCGCAUGGUCCUGAUACCAAAGCUUUAUGUGCUGAAAGAUGGUCUCGCGUCUGAUUAGCUAGUUGGUGAGGUAACGGCUCACCAAGGCGACGAUCAGUAGCCGGUCUGAGAGGAUGAACGGCCACAUUGGGACUGAGAUACGGCUCAG
rnacentral:rRNA from 1 species